rnacentral:rRNA from 1 species
GAUGAACGCUGGCGGCGUGCUUAACACGUGCAAGUCGAACGAAGCACUUUUUGAAUCUUCGGAAGAGAAAGUGACUGAGUGGCGGACGGGUGAGUAACGCGUGGGUAACCUGCCUUAUACAGGGGGAUAACAGUUAGAAAUGACUGCUAAUACCGCAUAAGCUGACGAAGUCGCAUGACUUAGUUAGAAAAGAUUUAUCGGUAUAAGAUGGACCCGCGUCUGAUUAGCUAGUUGGUGAGGUAACGGCCCACCAAGGCGACGAUCAGUAGCCGGCUUGAGAGAGUGAACGGCCACAUUGGGACUGAGACACGGCCCAAACUCCUACGGGAGGCAGCAGUGGGGAAUAUUGCACAAUCGGGGGAAACCCUGAUGCAGCAACGCCGCGUGAAGGAAGAAGGUUUUCGGAUCGUAAACUUCUAUCAGCAGGGAAGAUAGUGACAGUACCUGACUAAGAAGCCCCGGCUAACUACGUG